AUUGAACGCUGGCGGCAUGCCUUACACAUGCAAGUCGAACGGUAACAGGUUAAGCUGACGAGUGGCGAACGGGUGAGUAAUGUAUCGGAACGUGCCCAGUCGUGGGGGAUAACUGCUCGAAAGAGCAGCUAAUACCGCAUACGAACUGAGGGUGAAAGCGGGGGAUCGCAAGACCUCGCGCGAUUGGAGCGGCCGAUAUCAGAUUAGGUAGUUGGUGAGGUAAAGGCUCACCAAGCCGACGAUCUGUAGCUGGUCUGAGAGGACGACCAGCCACACUGGGACUGAGACACGGCCCAGACUCCUACGGGAGGCAGCAGUGGGGAAUUUUGGACAAUGGGCGCAAGCCUGAUCCAGCCAUGCCGCGUGCGGGAAGAAGGCCUUCGGGUUGUAAACCGCUUUUGUCAGGGAAGAAAAGGUUCUGGCUAAUACCUGGGACUCAUGACGGUACCUGAAGAAUAAGCACCGGCUAACUACGUG
rnacentral:rRNA from 1 species